AGCAGACACUGUUGCAGAGACAGGGGGUGUCCAUAUCAGCUGAACUGGUUCACAUCCACAGCAAGUCCAGGGCUCGCAGUCUUAGAACAGUCUGUAGUCAGCAACUGAUAUUCAGAUGUCUGCCAGAAGCAGAAACCUGUUUAAGACAUGUUUAAACUAGGAACAGAGGUUAAAGCUUAUUUACUGAAGCCCACAGUGUAGAAAAAGCAGAUAUCUGUUUAAACAGCAAGAACAUAUUUAUAACUUUGAGUCCUAGCAAAAACUGCAGAUUUGGGCUAUAAGCAUGUACAUUUUUCUUCUGUCCAGAGAGCCAGGUAUGGAUUGGACAGAGGUGCCUUUGGCCUGAUGAAAAGCCCUUUAAGUUUGUACUUAGAUGACAACCAAAAUAAACUUAAAAACUUUGAACUUGUGCCUGAACAGUAGAUAGUCACUAUUUUAUUAGCUAACAUACUGACUAGUCUAUAGUGGAUCUGACUGCCUGAUGCUGUCAAGCUGACAACCAGUAAUAUUUCAGAGAUCUGAGAAGGGUAUAUUUUAAACUUUAAAGAUAACAAUUUAAAUGCCAUAUUCUGAAGAUCUCUGAAGCAUUAGAGGUCUGUUUUAGUUGCUUUCCUUAAGCACACAAGAAGCACACAGGUGGCUAGGUAAGGUCUUAUUUCUGUAAAUGAUUUUUAGUCUGACUGUAACUGGUUUUAACUUAGUAAAAUGUUUGAAACAGCACAGCUGAACUUAAAACUGCAUAGAGCUACCUUAUAUUCCUUAAACAGUAGCUUAACUUCUUUCUGAGGCAGGGUUUUUCUGUGACUUUGGAGCCUGUCCUGGAAUUCGAUCUGCCGGACCAGGCAGGCCUUGAACUCAUAAAGAUCCAUUUGCCUCUUACUCCCGAGUGGUGGGAUUAAAGGCGUGUGCCACCUACACCCUGAGCUUAAAGGUGUGUGCUACCAACACCCUAAACUUAACUUCUGAAAACACAAACUGUAACAGAUUAGCAUCUUUUAUAAAACAAGAACUUUACAUUGUCAGGCUUUGCUUAAGAAUAAUUCUAAAUUGAAGCUCUUUAAGUACAAACUUUAAUAAAAACAAACAUUUGAAAACUGGUUUUAAAAAGAAAUUUAAAUUCCCUUAAGGUCUUUCUGUAAUAUAUAGAAGCAUUAACAUUUUAA
rnacentral:lncRNA from 1 species